AGUGAACGCUGGCGGUAGGCCUAACACAUGCAAGUCGAACGGCAGCACAGUAAGAGCUUGCCGGUACGGGUGGCGACUGGCGGACGGGUGAGGAAUACAUCGGAAUCUCCUUUUUCGUGGGGGAUAACGACGGGAAACUUACGGUAAUACCGCAUACGACCUACGGGUGAAAGCAGGGGCUCUUCGGACCUUGGGCGAUUGAAUGAGCCGGUAUCGGGUUCGCUAGUUGGCGGGGUAAAGGCCCACCAAGGCGACGAUCCGUAGCUGGUCAGAGAGGAUGAUCAGCGACACUGGAACUGAGACACGGUCCAGACUCCGACGGGAGGCAGCAGUGGGGAAUAUUGGACGAUGGGAGCAAGCCUGAUCCAGCCAUACCGCGUGGGUGAAGAAGGCCUUCGGGUUGUAAAGCCCUUUUGUUAGGAAAGAAAAGCAGCAGGUUAAUACCCCGCUGUUCUGACGGUACCCAAAGAAUAAGCACCGGCUAACUUCGUG
rnacentral:rRNA from 1 species